UAUUGGUUCAGUAUCAGACAAUAGCUUUUGUAAUGUAGCACGAGCUUCCUUCCAUGCAGGACGUCCCAGUUCCAGGAACUUGUUGAGAUUAGACUGAUUGAAACAAUCGGAAUUUUUGAGAAGAGGACCGUCAAAUAGAUCGGCGGAAGCAAUAACGGAGAGAUCCAAAACGUAAUCACCAAUGGCGACACCAAUUCUAGGUUCAAAAUCCGGCGCAGGCCGGAAAACGCCGUAGGGAAGGUUCUCGAUCGGAAAUUGGGAAUCCGAUUGAACUUCGACGAACGAUUUCAUUCCCAUACUAACCGGAAAACGGCACUGGCCAAAAUUGAAAACAGAGUAGAAGGAACAAUAAUGGAG
rnacentral:misc_RNA from 1 species